GAGUUGUUCCCUUGGGUUAGAUUUAGUAUUACUUGGCAAGCUACCUUGUGGUCGUUCAGAAAUUAGUUUGGUAAGCUGUCCUAUCUGAGUUUUGAGCCCCUGGAUCGAUGCUUGUUGAUUCUUAAGUGCUGUUUCGGUGUUCUGAAAGCGAUUUUCUGACAUCGAGAUAAACUUUGUUAGAGUCUCCUCAAGGUUCGGCUUCUUUUCCUGUUGGUAAGGUGGUUGUUGAAAACCCAGAGGAUGUUGUGGCCUUUGAUUCCCUUAACCACCCCACAAGAAGUUAGGAUGGUUCUUCCAACCUGCAUUAUAUGUGUUACUAUAUGGGUUAUCUUGAGAUCUAGAAUUAUUAUUACCCAUACAGUGAACUUGUUCCUCCUCGGUGCUAGGAUUGAAAGGUUGAUAUUAUGUGUGCAUUCCUCCUCCAUUUGAAUCACACCUCAUCACUGGAUGUACCUGAGUAGAACCAUACAAACCGUCAAUCUUUUUAUUUAAGAGUUCUACCUGGUUAGACAGCCUAGUAACUGCAUCGAGGUUAAAAACACCAGCUGCUUUCUUCGGCUUUUUCCUCAUAACUUGCC
rnacentral:lncRNA from 1 species